GACGAACGCUGGCGGCGUGCCUAAUACAUGCAAGUUGAGCGCUGAAGGUUGGUACUUGUACCAACUGGAUGAGCAGCGAACGGGUGAGUAACGCGUGGGGAAUCUGCCUUUGAGCGGGGGACAACAUUUGGAAACGAAUGCUAAUACCGCAUAAAAACUUUAAACACAAGUUUUAAGUUUGAAAGAUGCAAUUGCAUCACUCAAAGAUGAUCCCGCGUUGUAUUAGCUAGUUGGUGAGGUAAAGGCUCACCAAGGCGAUGAUACAUAGCCGACCUGAGAGGGUGGUCGGCCAAAUUGGGACUGGGACACGGCCCAAACUCCUACGGGAGGCAGCAGUAGGGAAUCUUCGGCAAUGGACGAAAGUCUGACCGGGCAACGCCGCGGGAGUGAAGAAGGUUUUCGGAUCGUAAAACUCUGUUGGUAGAGAAGAACGUUGGUGAGAGUGGAAAGCUCAUCAAGUGACGGUAACUACCCAGAAAGGGACGGCUAACUACGUG
rnacentral:rRNA from 1 species